AUAAUGGAGAGUUUGAUCCUGGCUCAGGACGAACGCUGGCGGCGUGCCUAAUACAUGCAAGUCGAGCGGAACCAUUGGAGCUUGCUCCUUUGGUUUAGCGGCGGACGGGUGAGUAACACGUGGGCAACCUGCCCUGCAGAUCGGGAUAACUCCGGGAAACCGGUGCUAAUACCGAAUAGUUUAUGGCCUCUCAUGAGGCUGUACGGAAAGACGGUUUCGGCUGUCACUGCAGGAUG
rnacentral:rRNA from 1 species